rnacentral:lncRNA from 1 species
CCCCCUUUUGAUCUCCAGCCAAUGUUUGGUAAUUUGAAUCCCAAACUUUCAUUAGACGACUGAUUCUUAUUAAGAACGGUUGUUUAACGUUAGUUAAAGUCAUGUCACCUUGUGGAAAUUGGUCAAAUCUUCGUUGGUUGGUCCGAAUUGAACAUAGGUAAUUUCUUUCAUUUUUUUAAAAUUGUAUCUUAUCUUUUAUUUUCUUCUAUCUUUUCUUUGAUUCCUCUUCAUGAUUUUUGUUUUUCAUUUUAGCCGCAUGUUUUAGGAUUCUUCUCUUCUUUUGUUCAAAUUUGCUUUGUG